rnacentral:lncRNA from 1 species
GGGAAAACGGACUCACUAGGAGGACCUAGACUCUUUCAGCUUGAACUGUUAACCAAUGGUGGAAAUGCAAGAAUGCUGAAGUUGUGCCUUCAGAGCCAAUAGAGUGGAUUUGUGUGUCCCACAUGACUGUGUUUCCCCUGUCUUUCACAUGGGCAGUAUUUAGUUCAAUUCAGAACUGCAGAUAGUAUAGCACGCAGAGCAGCAAUGGGAUGUCUGAGCACAAGUGGCUGACUUCCAGGCGACUUCAAGAAGCACAUUUGCACAUUUAUCCUGAAUUAAACUGGAAUUCUGCACCCUUGACAUCCUCCUACUCUCCUGGUGUCUGCGGAAGGAAACAGCGACCUGCACAGCACAACAAAACUACAAAUCAUCAGUGAUCUACAGACAAGCAAACGAAGUGAGCUGAGGGCAAUUUAACUACCGCCUUCUGUGUCAGUUCCCCAGAAGUCAAUGAGGCAUACUAUCGGGUCUCCAAGAGGAACAUCCAGGUGCCAGCUGGUGGAAAGGCAGAUGCCACUGAUUGCAAUAGUCUUGCACCAGUUUACAUUGACAGAGUCUGAUCCUAUGUGCAUUAGAGUUACUUUUAGGCACUCACACUGGAACUCACUUCAGUGACAAUUAAAAAUAUAUCCACGCAUGACAUUACAUCCUGUCCCCAAGUGUAUGACUGGAAGCCUGUUGACAGUCUGUGGGAGAGGGCAAGUAGAAGUAGCCAAGAACUAUGUCCAUGAGAUAACUUUGUAAGAGGAGUAUUAACCCUAAUUUUCAGUUGUCUUUUUAUUUUUUUUUUAAUGUGACCGUUUGCCUACAGAAAAAAAAACUCAGCUCCACCUUGCAGUAGCAAUUCAAUGCUUGCAAAGGAAAAAACAAAAUAAACCAUGAUGCUGUAGACCGUGUAGAGUGUCUAAGUAAGUUAAAAAAAGACUGGUCUCAUCAUCUAGAAUUGUAAGAAACCCCCCGAACUGAGAUCUGUUUGUUCAACUAUUUGUUCCUGAAGAUGCAGCUCAUGUAGCAACUGAAGUAAUUGUUUGUCUGUACAGCGCAACACCCAUAACUCCAAUUUAGGUCAGGCCAUCAAGAAGAGGAAAAAGGACUGAAGAUGAGAUGCUCUACUUCACACAGUUGCCCUCUGGAAGGGCUGGCAAAGGCAGUCACUUAAAUUAAGUACAGGUCAUCAGACAGGAUAUCUAAUCUAUUCCUAAAACAGGCAGCUCUCGCAGUCCAAAUCCCUAUGGCCUUUACAGCAACACAACGAACUACUUCCUCAUGUACCUCUGUCAAUUCACGUUAGGUUCCUAUUUUUUUUUAAAGCGAUAUUUCUUGUACACCAUGACCCUAUUGCUCACAGCAAGGAAAGUGCUUUGGUUUAUUUAUGACCUACUAACCUUAAAUAAAAAAACCAUACAUCCAAUCUGAAUGUUCACAUAAGCCUGCAGAUCUGAAAUAAAACUUAAAGUAAAGCUGGCAUUUGUAAUAGCUAGCUAAGCCCAGUAAGGGAUUUAGAAAAAAAAUUAAAAUUAAAACCAGAUGAGAGAAGAUGAAAGCAUUUUUACCCUGCAUAACCUGCACACAUCAUGAAUGAUGGCUGGAGCUCAGGAAUACUUUUUUGUGUUUUUGUACUUACAAGUUUCAACCCACUUCAACAGCGGCUAGGUAACCAAGGAAAUACUGAGGUUUUCCCAUUACAGGGUGGGGAGGGAAUAAUAAUAACCCAUGAAAGUAAUUCCUUUUAAGAUGCAAUCCAUCCAGCCACGAGCUCUACACAGCUCCUCUCUUUCCCUUACACCCCAUCCUAACUGCCAGGUAUCAGUCUGGUCAGACCUCAUAUUGAAAUAUGAUGUGACAGAGGGAAGCAGGGAGUAAGACUGUAGGAAUAAGUACUGAAAGAAAUGGCAUAAAGAAGGAAAGUUUACAGCAGGGAAUAUGGGAAACACAAGUGACCCUAUAUAUGUUUUGCUAGAACAAUGCUGAACAGAUGCAAAUGCAGAAAAGACUAUUCAGUUGAAGAGUUUUAUUCUCUCAUAGCUCACCCUGAUCUAAAGAACACCCUUCCUCUACAUCCAUAGAGUUUAAUUGUGAUACGGUCAGUACAAAUAAGUGGGGAAAAAAAAGGAAAAAUAAAAAUCAAGCUUCAGACCUAAGAUAUCAGCAACAAACAACUCUUGCUGCUGAACCAGCAUCAAAUAAAGGGAGGAGAGAACAUCUCCACCACAGUUGGUUGGAACUAGAACUCACAGAUACUCAUGAUCACAGUGGAAUUCCUAAACAAAAGAAAAAAUCUACUAGAAAGGAGAAAUUUACGUUCCAUUCUUCUGUAGUUCUCCAGCAGGGUAUAUUAAUGCCUCUGUUCUUUAGAUAUAUUUGAUAGAAAUACAGUUAUCUGUACAAGAAGAGUAAUUUGUUGAAAGAAAUAGAUACAAAGUUCUUGACACAGCAUUUGUUUAAAAAAGAAUAUACGCAGGCAGUAUAUUUAUGACCUGAAGUCUUUUGGUGCUACCUCCCUUUAUGGUACUUUAAACAAAAUGAACAGAAAAUAUUUUAUAAAUAUUUUUAUUUAAAUGUAGAAAUCAAUGAGAGAGUACAAACUAGCUUGCCCUCUGGUAAAAGAUUUAACAAGUAGGAACUCCUAGAAUCCAAUGAAUCACUUACCAUUUCAGUGCAGCAAACUAAGAGCAGCCCUAACUAAAUGAACUGAGACCAACAAAGCUGCAAGAGAAUAACCUUCUGCAGGAGAAUUGCUAACAAGCACAAGUAAGGAAAAAUCCCUGUGUUACCAUUCUGUGCCUUGUGCUACAGCUUCAGCACUUCUUCCCAUAAAACAUUAAAAUUGUAACCCUAUAUGUUGUGUGUGUAAAAAUAUAUGUGUAUACAUAGAGUUAAAAGUAUAAGGAAAAAUUAGUUGGAAAGCUCAGAUAGAUGCUGGAAAAAAAGCUUGUGCUACUGUGGAAAUUGCUAUGCACUUCAAUUUGUAAUCAUCAAGUUCUGGAUAUAAACAGGUUGAAGACAAAAAAAGAAACAUGAAAAUAAAUUUAGGUCAUCAAACCUCGAUGUAAACUCAUCAAGAAGUGAAUACUGGCAGAUUUUACUCUGCUUACUUUAUAUUUUUAUUCUACUGGUAAAGUAUAAACUGUAACACUGAUUCACAAUAUUCUUGGCAGGAUCUGUUAAUAAACGGGUGAAACCUUAUGUUUCUGUUUGCUAUGAAGUUCAGUUUUGUAAUAACACAGACAACAUUAAUCAAUCGACUUCUGCCUGGAUGGCCAACAACAUAGUUACGGCUUGAAUAAAUGAAAUACCUUUUCUUUCCAUAGAAAGACAUGUGAGAAGCUGCCAGCUCCAUGCAUGAAGAAGGAAAUGGGAUAGACAGAGAAGGGUGCUGGUACUGGUAAGAGAAGAAUAACUGAAAUUACAUCAAUUGUAUGAUAAAAAUAAUCAUGUCAAUUUUGAUUUUCCCCCCUCCUUUCAGACAUUUAAGGAUGCUGUCAAGUCAAUGGAGUUCUCUUGUAGUGGUUGCUUCAGUGAACAUUCAACGCUGUCGGCCUUCACACCGAAGAUAGAAACCUAACCAGCACAUGAGGUUUCUCCCCUACUCUGCCACGCUUUACAAAAAAGGUCACAAUCAACAUUCAUUGCUGUCGGUGGGUUUAACUAUGUGGACAAGCUCACUGAACAAUGAAUGCAACUGUGGCCCCACAUUUUACAGGUGCAUUUGGGAGGAAUGUCAGCUCUGAAAGGAAUAGUGAGAAACAGACAUUUCUUAUAGGUUACGUUUUUCUGGUCAAAAAUUUGUUAAGGAUAUUCAAUUAACUCUUCUUUGUUAUUAAAUGUAUUUAACUAUGUUGACUAAAAAAAAAAAGCACUGCAUUUUUCUGGAAUAUCACCCUCACAGGGUUCAGCACCUCUGAAACUGAAAUAAUGCUUGUUCAGUAUGUAUGUGGAAAAAAGUAAUAAUAUAGAGAACUUGGUAUAUAUGUACUCCUCAGGACUACGCAUAAGAGGAAAGAGUAUUUAAAUGUUAAAUCUUAAUUAACUAGGUAUUAUGGAAUAGUUUACAGAAGUCUCUUCUAUACUUGUCAAGACAAAACCAGAACUUUUCUAGUGGACAGGUAACAGAAAUAGAUGUAUACCCACUAUCAAAUAGUUAAAUCGUAAAAUUACUCUAAACUUCGGUACUUGUGUCACACUCAGUAUUGCUAACACUAAUGAAAAAAUAAAAGUGUAAUUAAAGCUCACUGUUCUGUCCUUAUUUUCUUACAACCUUUGUUUAACCCAGCUGGAAAAAACAGAGCCCAGCCUACAUUUCUACCUUUCAGAAGUCAUCCAAGGUAAGUGCAAGCCUUCACACAGCACAGUUUCAAUAUUCCGCAGUAGAGUUGCUUCUAACAUUUAGGAAAUCACACGACGUUCCUAGUUUCUCCUGAUAGACCCUCUUAAAAGCUGGGGUCUGUUAACAAUACUUCAGUUUGAUUAUCUACACAGUAACUGGAAUAGGAUACAACCAUCAGGGCUAUCAUGGGAGGAAACAUCUGUACCUGCUUUGUGAACCGUAUAUUAACAGCCUAGCUAAAUAAUAACAGUUUAAGUAAUCAAAGAGAUCAGUCCUCAAUCACAUGCAAGAUUAUAUUUGAAUAACUGAAUUUUUAAUGAAAAGAGAGGCACACUACUGAAUUAAAAUCAAUGGCUGAAAGAAGUGCGUUGUUUUUUUCAUUCUGAUAUUUACUACCAAAUAAUCUACAGAAUGUACUGAGGCCAGGGGCAGCAGUUAAGUACUAAUAGGAGGAGUGGCUAUGGAUACGUGACUUCUCAGCGACACUGCAUAGAGAACCCUAGGUUCUAUCUUAAAGUUCACUCGUUUCUACACAGCAAUGAGUACUUGAAUAACUAUCAAAUUAUAUAUAUGGAUCACAAUACAAGCAAGUUAUAUAUUCUAUCUAGAAGGACAAACUUACAUGUUCAGUUGCAGCUACUUCAUACUUGCCUAAUUUCUGCAUUUAUUACUUUUACUAACGUGACUUAAUUGUGUUAUGCAUUAAUAAACACUGAAGAUGUUACUGAAGUUUGUGGAAUUAAGCAGCAGUGGAAAGAACCAGCAUCCUAGCAUGUUAUCACCUUCAAGCACAACAGAAGAAAAUACAAAAAUAAACCAUACUGCAACUGAUAAUGGUUGAACAAUACAAUUGUUGUAGGGACACAGGAUCCAGUGCAAGAAAAAGGUUAGUUAUAGGGUAGGGGGGAAGGUGAGGGGUUGAUGGCACUCUCUCAAAAUGCACAGAUGUUUUACCUUUUAGAAAAUAUCUACAGUAAUAUUGUUGCCUUGCGUAAGUUGUGUCAGUGAUUUUAAUCAUAGAAUCGCUAAGGUUGGAAAAGACCCACAGGAUCAUCCAGUCCAACCAUUCGCCCUUCACCAAUGGUUCUCACUAAACCAUGUCCCUCAACACAACAUCCAAUCACUCUUUGAACACCACCAGGGUCGGUGACUCCACCACCUCUCUGGGCAGCCCAUUCCAGUGCCUGACCACCCUUUCAGAGAAGUAGUAUUUCCUAACGUCCAGCCUGAACCUUCCAUGGCGCAGCUUAAAGCCAUUGAAGCCAUAAUCACGCUUUCAUAUCAAGAUUAAGAAUCUCCAUAGUGUACAAAUACACAUUAUUUCAUACAGUUUGAUAAUUUUAUAUCUCCAUUAAUUUACAGGAUGCUCAUGGGCAAAGCAAUACCACACCUGAUAAGAGAGACUGCUUUUCACACACAUCCUUUACAUAAUGAAGCAAAAGUGAUCCCCAUUCAGCAACAGUAGCUGUGAAACUGAAGUUCCUUGGUCAUUUUCAGGGUUGUUAGUUUUUUUUUUUGUUGUUGUUGUUGUUAAUAUGAUACAUCCAUGCUCAAUACAGUAUCCGUGGGCUACAGAGACCUUCCAGAAAAUUGCUCCUUGGUAUCACUGUAAAUAAUUCACUCACAACAAUAUUUUUAGGUCAAGCAUAUCAAAAUUACAGGAAAUGUAAUGGACCUUGACAUAAUAGGAGCACUAGUUUCAAAGCAGUGAAGGAGGAGGAGAAGGAACAUACUUUCCACACACAGCUCAGUCACAGUUUCCCAGUGUCCACAAUACUGUGCUUGAAACAGGAGAGGCAGUACCAAGUGGUUGCUGCUAAGUUUGGAGUCACUGAGGUUUUACUUAACUCCAGACAUAGUUCUGUUUUUCCUGACUUCUGGAGCAAAAUGGGUGAAAGCAGUUCAGAUCCAGCAGUUUCUGCGUCAAGCCUCUAACUCCUGUUUACCAAGCACAGAAAGACAUUCCACCUUACCUUUCAAACUACAACACAAUGAAUACCUAUGAAAACCAUACGUGAUUCAGGACUACAGCAAAAUGAAAACAUUACACUGUCCAGAGCAGACUAAAAACACCACAAUAACAUUUCUUGCUUUACAGAUGGUAAAGAGAAGAAAUACAGUAGAAGUUAAAUAUAGAAAUAGUUUGUAUCUGUAUGUAGUAGUCUGAACUGGAAGUAGUAUCUAGAUCUUGCAUUCGAGCCAUGCGUCUUACACUGGAAGAAGGAGUAUUGUAAUUUUGACAUGAAAACCGUAUUUUCCUUCUUGCUGAUCGCCCCUUUUUCCUAAUCAAAUGAUAUUUAUUUUUUCUCUCUAGAGUUAUCAUCCACUCCAGAUUAAUAUCUGUAUCUUGCCCUCACUUUCUUCUAUUCUUCUGUAUAAUUCUCUUAACUUCUUCAAAAAAAAAUUAGUCUUCCUGAGCUUCCUCUUUUAGCACAAGUGCCAGAAAUGCAGACUGUGUUCCAAAUAGCCCAGCCAAAGCUAGCUGAAGUAGUCUGAUGUCUCCCUAUUUUACAAGGAACUGCUGAUCAUUUUCAGCCAAAAAUAGCAUUUGUAAUGGCACCACACAGUUAACACAUUUAAAUUUAUCUAACUUUAUUCCACAGAUAUAUUAGUGUCCACAAGUUUUUUCCUAAUUUGAAGUAGGUUAUUUCAUCCCCCUGAAAUGCAACACUUGCCAUUUUUUUUUUAUCUAUUACGUAAUUUCUGCAACAUCCAUUGAUUACAGCAUCGUGGUCAUAUUUUCACAGGAAUUAAUUAGAGACUUCUUGUAGGUUUACAUCUGAAAAAAAUACAUCUGAAAAAAUAUAAGGAAAGAUCCAGGGGUAGGAGCUCCAACCCACAGAAGCCAUGAAUUACAACAGAAAUUUUGUCUAUACUUGACAAGUAAAUCAGAACUGAAUCCCCUAGCUCUGCAGCCAGAGCCAGAACACGCAUAUACAACACAUAGACUUUUCCUGGUUUUGUUCCAUGAGAUACAGUAGCGCCCAAGCUAGCCCUAGUAUUUUUUUUAUUGUUUUAAUAAAAGAAUUACCUAUCAAGUUUGUAAAUAGGCUAUCAUGAGACCUGAAAGUGUAACUUAUUGUGCAGUGUUUUUUUGUUUGUUUGUUUUCAUUAUUCUCUAUUAGAAAUGUUACUCUAGGUCUUGACAAUGAAAAGACAAGUCCAAAACGGACCAGAUACCGCAGUUGUAUGAUACCACAGUUCAGAACAGAACUGGCAAAGAGGCAAGGUACCUGGAAAAUAGCAUUCUCUUGGCCAUUAAGAUAGGAGAACUUGCACUCAAAAUAAACUGCAGUAUAUAUACGCUAUUUAAACUGUGAUAUCACCUGUAAUUAAUGGCAAGCUACUGCAAUAAUCACAUGCUAUUAAGCUAUUUGAUUGCCUGGAAAUGCUAUUUAGUAAUUAAACAGUUAAAAUACUUUAUCAUAGACUUUUUGAAACACUGAAGCAAAAAAAAAGAUACACAAAUAUUAAUUUUAGCUAGCAGGAGAUGAGUCCAGGUGGUUGCCCUCUAAAGUCAACAUCACCAUCUGAUGUGUAAAACACUCCUAAUUAACAUAAAGUACACCCUGUGCUAAUUAUUGUGCUCGCCUCCAAAUAAUGAGCCAUAACAAGCCUAGAGUUCAAGAUGAUAUAUUUACAUUUAAAUGCCAUGCACUUCACCAUCCUGUAUCAAUAUGGCCCUGGUUAACACACUGACAAAAAAAUGAAAUUACUGCCCCCACCGCCCUGCAGACUAGGGAAGCACAAACAGCUAAACAGAUACUAGAACUAAAAGAACUUUCAGACAGACCUUCAGGUUGUAAUUGUGGAAGGCAACAGGGAAAAGCAGUGCUUCAAAGAUAGUGGCCAGCUGUGGUCUACAGAACAUCGUAAGCAAAGUGGAGUCUCUUCAGGAAGAUAUCCAUACAUCUCCAAAACAAUUUCGGGAGAAUAUUCCAGAAGUUCACAUGGAUUGUGGUUUGCUAACUAGUGAAUUCAGGUUCUCCGCUGGUUUUAGUCAGCAUACUUUUGAUUUCAGUGGAAUUACACCACUAUAUACAGUGUGAGGGUUUGACAAACAAACAUGCAAGGGAUAUAAAAGCAGCACAGUCCUGCACAUCCUACACUAGAAAUGCAGUCAGAGGUAAAAGUCACUCUUUGGAAGAAGGGAGGGAAGCAAAAGAACAGAUAUUUGAAAAGCAAUCACUCCUACCUACAGAAAGAGCAUUUCUACCUGCUGUGGGUGGUCGUGGACACAGCACUCGGACACCUAACUCCUCCAUUCUUGCAGGUUACAGUUUUGCAGGUACAAAUACAGAAUUUCAAAACACAACAUGCAUAGAGUAUUUUGGGGCAGAAAUAUAACACCCACGUUAUGAUAAUUUGGCCUUUGCCACCACAUGACGGUCUCCUUCACUUCAUGUAUCUUGAGGUACGUGGGUGGCAAAGAACUGACAGCAUAUUUUUGUCUAAAGAUGGCUCCCACAGCACGAGUGUACAUACUGGAAGCAAUGGCAGUUUGUUUCCUUCCUCCCUUAACACUGUGCUCUUUACUUGAGUUUCCAUCAUUUCUAUACAGAGCUAGUAACACUAAACCAUUCACCGAGGAGAGGGUUAAAAAAAGCCAAAGCAAAAAAAAAAAAAAAAAAUCACCGAGUCUUCAAAUUAUUCUCUGUCACAAUAUCCAGAUUUUAUGAAUCCUGAACCAUCUCCUCAGGGUGCCUAGCAGCACCUUUCUCUGGCCUAGAACUAAGCUCUGACUUCAGAUUUGUAUCAGCCUUUACAAGAGACGAUCAUUUUCAGCAAAGUUUCAGGCACUGCAGAUUUAUGUACAAAGACUUCUAACUGCUGCCUGGAUGUGCCUUCUGGAACCAGAAAACACACAUCAAGAGUAAGAUGAGCAAGCCACAGGUUUGUUCAAAUGAAUACCAAAAACUGACUGUUAAGAGUCAAUUAAAAAAAAAUACUGAAAAUAUUGAACUUUUCUCUGCUUCCUCUGUAUUGCUAUUCCAACUAGAUCCUACACCACCCAUCCUAUCAACAUCUUCAUGGAUGCACACAGGUAGCUAAGACACUCCAUAUCUUAAAAAGAAAACCUAGAGGUUUUCUUUCUCCUUAAAGAGACUUAUCUGUGUGGAAACCUCACUUCUUUAAACCUUGUACUGAGAUUCUGGGGAGUGCUACUGCAUCUAUUGCUAAUAAUCCAAGCCUGUGGCAUGCAUACCCACAAGGGUAUUUUUAGCUAGAUUCUAGGUGCAUACCUUUGCAACUGAUUUCGAGUUCCAUUAACAUCUAGAACUAGUGGCUCUUCUCUACUUUGAUGAGGAAAAUAAACUAUGUUCCAGCUGAAAGCGGGACUUGGAUCCCCAAAUCAAUAAGACUACAUUAGUAGUUUGUCACAUUGGAGCCCAUAGGGCACUUGUGCUCACUAUUCUCCAAACAAGAUGAAGUUUUAACAGGCUCACCUAAUUUGUUGAGCAAUAUAGUUGGAAUCCCUGCAUUGUGAAUAAAAGAAACUGGUAGGUUGCUAGGCUGAUGACAGGUCGUACAGCCUUUUCUUGACAGAAGAUACAACAGUCAACAGUGUACAACUGAACCUGUACAGAGCCUGUACAGCCUGUUACAGAGCCUGUAACUUCCAAGCACAAAACACCGCAAUAUGUGCUUAAAAGCACAAAAAGGGUUUAUGUUCACUUCUAAAUUGUUGGCUGCUACAUGUUGUCAUCUCUUUUUAAAGGUUGCUCACUAGCUGCAUUCCAAGUUUUCACAUAUGUAUGAUUUCCUUCAGCUACAAGUGUAAAUUUGCAAGCAAUGGGAACAUGAGUGCAGUCACUGUCUGAUGGAAUCUGCAUAGAAGGUAAAGCUGUCACCAGAUGGCAUUUCUGAGUUUUGUGCAGCCAGAUAUUCAAAAGCAGCAUCUGAAUUCUGGAUGCUACACUGUUGUUUUUGUGGGGUUUUUUUGUUUGUUUGUUGUUGUUUUAAUUUAUUGUGGAUACUCUGAAUCAGCAUCUGCUCCUGCAAUUAUC